GACGAACGCUGGCGGCGUGCUUAACACAUGCAAGUCGAACGGAAAGGCCCUGCCUUUGUGGUGUGCUCGAGUGGCGAACGGGUGAGUAACACGUGGGUAACCUGCCCGUGACUUUGGGCUACCUUCAGGAAACUGGGUCUAAUACCGGAUCGGAGCUCCUGCUGCAUGGUGGGCCUUGGAAAGUUUCGGCGGUUGGGGAUGGACUCGCGGCUUAUCAGCUUGUUGGUGGGGUAGUGGCUUACCAAGGCUGUGACGGGUAGCCGGCCUGAGCGGGUGACCGGCGACAAUGGGACUGAGAGACGGCGCAGACGCCUACGGGAGGCAGCAGUGGAGAAUAUUGCACAAUGGGCGGAAGCCUGAUGCAGCAACGCCGCGUGCGGGAUGACGGCCUUCGGGUUGUAAACCGCUUUCGCCUGUGACGAAGCGUGAGUGACGGUAAUGGGUAAAGAAGCACCGGCUAACUACGUG
rnacentral:rRNA from 1 species